CCACACUACACAAACACACAUAAAUCAAUCAUACAACACAAUGAGACUCUUUAUACCUGCUCUGUUUCUCUUUCUAGUAUUUACCUUCAAUGUGAUGAUACAUGUUGUUCAAGGAGGUCGAUCAUUUAUCAACAAAGAAGUUGUGGCUACUGGAAGUUCUGCCCCUACUAGAAGAGGUAACUGCGAAAAGCAAAAGGGUGGAUGCAAGGAAAGAAGUGGGGGAUUGGAAGAGUCUGUAAUGUUUGAGCAUGAAGACUAUGUUUAUACCAACUCUUUACCUUAGAUGACAUGGUUUUGCUUAUUCCUUUACUCGAUGAUAUGAUGUAAUAGUUAUGAACUUAUGGUGAUCUUCAGCUUGUCUGAAACAAGUUAGAUUGAUGAUUGAAAAUGAUCUGUAUAUAAACUGCAUAUUUUCAUGAGAUCACUAACAUCAUCAGAUAGCUCUUCUCAUCCUAUGACCACAAGGCACAAGGACAAAGAUUAAUUAUGAGUGUCCUCCACAAUUUUUUCUCAUCUUGGAUUCAUUCUCCUUCUUAGAUAGCAGAAAACUUGUUGUAUUUAGUGGAGAAGUUGUAAUAUUUGAUUUACUUUUUCUCUUACCUAAAACAAAAUAUCAAAUUACGACUAUCAGUUGGGCUUAGAUCAAGUUAAUAAGUUAGCUUCAGAUAUUGCACAAUCCUUUGUAAAUGUGGGAUUAUUUUUUAAUGUAAUAUGACAUCUUUACAUACCCCAUGAGAUCAUGCUGAUUCUUAAGACAUUUGUGUUGGUCUAAUAUGAAAUUUAAGAUAGAUUUUGAUAUCAUUUUGAAUAAGAUCCAAAUUCAACCACAAAAACCAAGUCAAGAGAUGACCAUUUUGAAUACAACAUAUUGAUGAUAAAUACAAGAUACUUACAUUUGCAUUUUCAUUGGACAAAUUUAUGUACGUCAGUUACAAGCAAGGCUUCCCCCUGCCAAAUUUAUUGGAAGCUGCAUCAUACAUUGUGGUACUUUCAAG